rnacentral:rRNA from 1 species
GAGAGGAGUAGGACGGCAGUCGGGGGGGAGGGGAGGGGUGUUAGGAAAAAGAGGGGGGGCAGCGGCGGGGGUAGGGGAGGAGGAGGGGGAGGGUGCCGGGGGUCGGGAGCGGCCACCGGGUCUAGGCCUGCGGGCGCGGGUAGGGGCGCGGCGCGGCGCGGAGCGGCUAGCGGCUCCUAUUUUUCCGACACUAUUCUUUAACUCUUAACUACAAGACCUGAUAGUGAGGUGAAGAAGACACUCCUAUUUUUCCAACACUAUUCGUUAAUUCGGAACCACAGGACCUAACAGUGAGGAGAAAAAGACACUCAACCGAACCAAUUACACACGAAACACCAUUUCUACUGUCUGUUACCAUUUCGUUUCAGUCCGAGUCCUCGUCGGAUAUGUUAGUUAGAUCUCUGGAAGUCAUUCGCCGAAUUCCACAAAAUACUGGUAACCUUGCCUUUGUUCAGACUAGAAACCCGAAGAAGACUACGGUAACGUUAACGAUGAGGCGGAGGAAGACUCCUAGAGGCAAUAAACUUCAGGUGUCGAGACCUACAAACCAAUGAACCCAUACUUAAAGGUCUUUGGUAUUAACAGAAGUACGUCUUCGUCUAUGUAAAGAAUACGUCGGUCUUCUUUCGUUUAGAGUAACCUUGGGAGUUCCUACGACGUUCACUCCGACAACCAAGACUAUAAUAGAACGUACACUUUUCGUUCUUACCCCUACCGUAACUGGACUACCUACUGUAUGACGCACGACAAAGACGAGUCAGCUUUAGACUGUGAGGUCAACAACCAGUGUAACGUUUUCUCCGUGGACUCCCAUUCGAGGAACUUUGUACCCGUCUUUUCAAUCGACCACCUAGACAUGUUGAACGUCUGCAUUGUGUACCCAAAAGACUCGAAAAACGGCACUUUCUGCGGUGUCUCUAGUAUACACACUUCUUCCGACGAAUGGAUUGAAGUAGACACUACUUUUUGAAACACCAUGGCUGGUACCUCUUCCAAUAACUACUCCUCUCUUUUCAGAGUGUGAGGAGUAACUACCUACUGUGUCUCUUCCAAUAAGAACUAGGAAACUUCCGGUUCCACUUCAACUUCGGACUUUUAUAACUAUAUACGAUGGGAGGACAGAAGGUUUCACCUCCCUUCAAACUAGAAUCCGGUCCACGGAGGUCGUUACUACUAAUAGAGAUGAUACUAGGACGUUCAUAGUAGUAGACACGUUAACCCAGGUCCAUGUCAUUGAUGACAAGGUUACAACGGUCUUGUAAAAACUAUCUACGAUGGGGCCGUGUCUCAUUCCGCAUACUCUGUGAAGACUUUCGAGUCCUUCGACGAAAUCGUCGUACAUUUGGUCCGUUAGUCUACAGACGUCAAAAAUUCCGACGUCAACGUCACAAACUCUUCUUACGGGGACUUGACGAAGGAUUAGAUUGUUUCAGUCGACCUUGACCUUAACCGGAACUCAAGGCUCUUAGACCGAAUUUGAACUUACGGUUCUUACUGGCAGACUAUUUUCUCCCUUACUAAAAGUUACAGUUGGAACCAAACUCAUUAUAUGUCCGUCUUUGUUUGUUACUCUUCUGUUUCGUCAAGAGAAACAAUAAUCGACUAUGUCGAAAUCAAUUACUGUUCCGACGUCUCUAGAACUGGUUAACGAGGUUCCGACAAUUUCUACAACGUAUAAGUAAAUUACUUCUACUCCUCCUUCAAGGCUUCGGCUUCGCCCGAUUCCAACUCGGUUUACCGCACCUUCGUGAUGGUAGGUUCCGUUGUGAAGCCAGUCUGUUGGUCCUCUACAGGUUCCUUCUCGAGGCCUCUGUCGUGGUCCGACUUGAACGAGCAGUUUUCUUACUUCUCUGACGAUCUUCCGAACGACCCCCACCAAGACCAUUACCACUACCGGCACCAGGAAGAUCCUUAAGUUUACUCGAACAACGCAUGUUCUUACACUUACUACAUGGAAUAAGCUCUCUCAACCACUAUGUUCAUCUAGUCUCCUUACUUCGACAAGAGAAUGGAUAUAUACCGUCAUACCAGGGAAAGGUACAAAGAUGACAAUUCUCACACUGGUCGGUGGUCCUGUUGGCGUGGACGUGAUAGGCGUAAAAGAAGUUACAUGGACCGUACGGUAAGAGUUUACUGUUUCUAGACUUCAGAGUUCCUCGAUAGAUGAACUUUCUCUAAUGUAAGGCGAGCUUCCUAGGUGCCGUAUCGUCACUUCAACACGUCGUCUAGUUUUGUAACUCCUCCGUUCAUCGAAGUUCCCUCAGUCUCUCUCGACUUUCCCGGUGGGAACAAUGGGUCCUCUUCGAGGUCGUCCGUUCGUUGUUUUGUUUCGUUUACUCCGAAUUACUACAGACCUAUUCCGGAGGUAAACCACCAGCACCCUCUUUCGACUGUCCUUGAGAACUCCGGGUACAAUUACCAAAGUCUAUAAGGUGAAGUGCCCGACUACUCGCACACCUAUAGUACAUGCCCUUAUAUUUUGUACGAAAGAAGGUCGGUCGUCUCUUUCUUUACUAAUGGGAGGAAGUAAAGGUAGACGUGUUGGUAUAGUACCAACCUUUGUUCUUCUGCUUCCUACAGGUCAAAAUACAACUUCACUACCUACAACAAGUUUGACAACCACCGUCGUCCUCCAGUCGGGAACUAGGACUACUCUAACUUCUUCUCGUCGCACUCUCCCUGGCCUUCUUGUCUUAGUUGUACCUCAAGGUCUUGAUAUAGUUGUUCCAAUUACUGGUGACCAGCGUUGGUGUCAAGUUCCCCGAACUAGACCUCAAACUAUAGGGAGAAUCUCUCGAGCCCAAGGUACCCCACGGCAUAUUUCGAAGUCGAAAGUAGUAAGGUUGAAGUUGAACGAACCAACUCGACUAACUCUGGGGGAAGGACCACCACUGGGACCCACUCUAUCUCUAACAAUUAGACCUCUCCCACCCGAAACCUUGUUUCUUGAAACUGUACCGAUAGCACAAGUUCCUGAAGUUCUUCCUACAAGAGGCGUAGCUGAGGUAGGGCAGUUGGAGUGAACUGCGAUAUUUCCUCACCGACCUGUGGUGACUAGAGUUCAUGAUACUCUCGUCCGACUUAGACUUGACCGCAGGAUAGGACUUCUGAUAGUAACUACUAGGAGUCUUCAAACAACUGCUACCACCGACCCUCAAGGACUUGUACCUCCGUUCACUAAGACUCCGUCUCCUUUGUCUCCUUAGCCUGGUCCCCAUACUCGGAAGACUACGACUCGGACUCAGACUUAGUCUUCUCCUUCUGAGGCUGUCGCGCAGGAACCACCUUAGUCUGCUCCUACUCCUUCUCCUAAGACUACUUCUGAGACUCCUUCUCUUCCCGUUCUGGACCCUGCUCGACCUCGCCCUCCGCUGGUUGCGCCUGGCCCUAGUACCGCGUCUCAGACUGUCGCUCCUUCUUUCCUCCGCGGCGUUCCAGUUCUGGAAGUCGUUCAGCCCGCGUGGUGGCGUCGCACCAGGAUCGUCGUCGUUCGUACGAGGCGACGGCGUCGCACCACCGUCGUCGUCGCCGUUGUUCAGAGCGGGCGGAGGGUCAUCGAGGUUCCCUCCCGGCGGGAGCUUCUUCGGCUUCAAGUCCACUAACCAAGCAGAACCAGCGCGGGAGACUUAGAGACGAGAAAGCCCCUCCGUAUCAUAAACAUACCAAACCAACAUCGUCUUCGGCAGAUCAAGCGAGAAAUCCGGCAGCACCAUGAGCAAAGACGUCAUCGAAACGAGCAUGAUAGCAAUAUCAGUCAGUUAGCCUUGGAACCACUUAACAAUACAACAAUAAUGGACCGCACACACUGUCUCAGACUUCUGAACAACAAACAGCAAACCUAUUUAAGUUCGACCAAGUAGACGACACAGUACCAACUACAUUACGAAAUAACAUCUAACAGACUGUAGGUCAAACAUAUUUAAAGUAAACUGUAAAAAACCGAACAAAAAGCACUGACAAGAGGAGACGCCCUGUUUGUAAACCAUCAACGGUUUCCGAAACAGGACACUGCUCUUAAAGUACUAAGUC